GCCUGAUCCAGCCAUGCCGCGUGCGGGAUGAAGGCCUUCGGGUUGUAAACCGCUUUUGUCAGGGAAGAAAAGGUUCUGGCUAAUACCUGGGGACUCAUGACGGUACCUGAAGAAUAAGCACCGGCUAACUACGUGCCAGCAGCCGCGGUAAUACGUAGGGUGCAAGCGUUAAUCGGAAUUACUGGGCGUAAAGCGUGCGCAGGCGGUUAUGCAAGACAGAGGUGAAAUCCCCGGGCUCAACCUGGGAACUGCCUUUGUGACUGCAUGGCUAGAGUACGGUAGAGGGGGAUGGAAUUCCGCGUGUAGCAGUGAAAUGCGUAGAUAUGCGGAGGAACACCGAUGGCGAAGGCAAUCCCCUGGACCUGUACUGACGCUCAUGCACGAAAGCGUGGGGAGCAAACAGGAUUAGAUACCCUGGUAGUCCACGCCCUAAACGAUGUCAACUGGUUGUUGGGAGGGUUUCUUCUCAGUAACGUAGCUAACGCGUGAAGUUGACCGCCUGGGGAGUUACGGCCGCAAGGUU
rnacentral:rRNA from 1 species